UACGUAGGGCGCGAGCGUUGUCCGGAAUUAUUGGGCGUAAAGAGCUCGUAGGCGGCUUGUCGCGUCGGAUGUGAAAGCCCGGGGCUUAACCCUGGGUCUGCAUUCGAUACGGGCAGGCUAGAGUUCGGUAGGGGAGAUCGGAAUUCCUGGUGUAGCGGUGAAAAUGCGCAGAUAUCAGGAGGAACACCGGUGGCGAAGGCGGGUCUCUGGGCAACAACUGACGCUGAGGAGCGAAAGCGUGGGGAGCGAACAGG
rnacentral:rRNA from 1 species